rnacentral:rRNA from 1 species
UACGGAGAAGGAUAGUGUGUGCUAGCGAUUGGAAAUGCUAGUCUAAGCGUUUAGGAAGUUACGGUAGGCAAAUCCGCUGUAACAAUUCUGAGGCGUGAUGGGGAAGGUCAUUAAGACCGAAGUACAUGAUUCCAUGCUUCCAAGAAAAGCAUCUAGAGAGAGAAGUAGUGCCCGUACCGCAAACCGACACAGGUAGAUGAGGCGAGAAUCCUAAGGCCGGCGGAAGAAUUGCAGUUAAGGAACUAGGCAAAUUGACCCCGUAAGUUCGCGAGAAGGGGUGCCUGCGAGAGCAGGCCGCAGAGAAUAGGCCCAAGCAACUGUUUAGCAAAAACACAGGUCUCUGCUAAAGCGUAAGCUGAUGUAUAGGGGCUGACGCCUGCCCGGUGCUGGAAGGUUAAGGGGAACACUUAGCGCAAGCGAAGGUGUGAACUUAAGCCCCAGUAAACGGCGGCCGUAACGAUAACGGUCCUAAGGUAGCGAAAUUCCUUGUCAGGUAAGUUCUGACCCGCACGAAUGGCGUAAUGACUUGGGCACUGUCUCAACUGCAAAUCCGGCGAAGUUGUAGUGCGAGUGAAGAUGCUCGCUACCCGCGAUUGGACGGAAAGACCCCGUAGAGCUUUACUGUAGCUUAGCAUUGAAUUCCGGUAUUGUCUGUACAGGAUAGGUGGGAGACUGGGAAACUAGGGCGUCAGCCUUAGUGGAGUCAACCUUGGGAUACCACCCUGACAGUACUGGGGUUCUAACAGGACGCCAUGAAACUGGUGACUGGACAUUGUUAGGUGGGCAGUUUGACUGGGGCGGUCGCCUCCUAAAAAGUAACGGAGGCGCCCAAAGGUUCCCUCAGAACGGUCGGAAAUCGUUCGUAGAGUGCAAAGGCGGAAGGGAGCCUGACUGCGAGACCUACAAGUCGAGCAGGGACGAAAGUCGGGCUUAGUGAUCCGGUGGUACCUCGUGGGAGGGCCAUCGCUCAACGGAUAAAAGCUACCUCGGGGAUAACAGGCUGAUCUCCCCCAAGAGUCCACAUCGACGGGGAGGUUUGGCACCUCGAUGUCGGCUCGUCGCAUCCUGGGGCUGUAGUAGGUCCCAAGGGUUGGGCUGUUCGCCCAUUAAAGCGGCACGCGAGCUGGGUUCAGAACGUCGUGAGACAGUUCGGUCCCUAUCCGUCGCGGGCGUAGGAAAUUUGAGAGGAGCUGUCCUUAGUACGAGAGGACCGGGAUGGACUGACCUCUGGUGCACCAGUUGUUCUGCCAAGAGCAUGGCUGGGUAGCUAAGUCGGGAAGGGAUAAACGCUGAAAGCAUCUAAGCGUGAAGCCCCCCUCAAGAUGAGAUUUCCCAUAGCAUAAGCUAGUAAGACCCCUUGAAGAACACAAGGUUGAUAGGUCAGAGGUGGAAGUGCGGUAACGUAUGUAGCUGACUGAUACUAAUAGGUCGAGGGCUUGACU